CAUGUAGAGCACAAGACGUAGGGCUUGCGGACGGGGGUUCGACUCCCCCCGCCUCCACCA
rnacentral:tmRNA from 1 species